rnacentral:rRNA from 1 species
AUGCCCCUGGACUUCGCCAAGCACUUCGUCGUGGUGCCGGUGGAGUUCAAGCUCAGGAACAACACUGACUGCUCCUGGAAGGUGACGAUGAAGCUGAUGGACGAUAGGGUGACCCUGGAUCAGGGUUGGGCCACCUACGCAGUCGUUCAUCAGAUCAAGAUCGGCUACAUGGUGACGUCCAAGCUCCUCACUCCCGACACCCUCAAGGUCAUCAUCUUCGACGAGGAUGGCAUUGAGGUCGUCAACAAGUGCGGGAAGCACAACGAAGCCUUCGCCACCAAGGAGUAG